rnacentral:rRNA from 1 species
UACGGGGGGGGCAAGCGUUGUUCGGAAUUACUGGGCGUAAAGGGCUCGUAGGUGGCCAACUAAGUCAGACGUGAAAUCCCUCGGCUUAACCGGGGAACUGCGUCUGAUACUGGAUGGCUUGAGUUUGGGAGAGGGAUGCGGAAUUCCAGGUGUAGCGGUGAAAUGCGUAGAUAUCGAGAGGAACACCUGCGGCGAAGGCGGGUUGCUGGGCUGACACUGACGCUGAGGCGCGAAAGCCAGGGGAGCGAACGGG